rnacentral:rRNA from 1 species
GCGUAAGCGCACGCAGGCGGUCUGUCUAGUCUGAUGUGAAAUCCCCGGGCUCAACCUGGGAACUGCAUUCGAAACUGGGAGGACUAGAGUCGUUGUAGAGGGGGGUAGAAUUCCACGUGUAGCGGUGAAAUGCGUAGAGAUGUGGAGGAACACCGGUGGCGAAGGCGGCCUUCUGGACUGAGACUGACGCUCAGGUGCGAAAGCGUGGGGAGCAAACAGGAUUAGAUACCCUGGUAGUCCACGCCGUAAACGAUGACUGCUUGGAGGUUGAGGCCUUGAGGCCUGUCUUGCUGAGCCUAAGCGUUUAAUCAACCGCCCGGGGAAUACCGGCCCCAGGGUUGAACUCCAAUGGAUUGGACGGGGCCCCCCCCAACCGGGGAACCUGGGGGUUUAUUUCAAGCCACCCCAAAAAACCUUACCACGCCUGGACUCCCUAUGACUUUCCUAAA